rnacentral:rRNA from 1 species
GCUUGUCUCAAAGAUUAAGCCAUGCAUGUCUAAGUUCAACCAUCUUAAGGUGAAACUGCGCAUAGCUCAUUAAAUCAGUGGCGAUUUACAAGCUUGCUAUUUUAUAAGGAUACCUGUGGCAAUUCUACACUUAAUACUUGCCCUUUAUCCGACUUUUCUUGGUCGUAUUGUGACCCGAUUUCGGGCCGUGCUCUCAAACCACUGACCUAUCAACUUCCGAUGGUAGGAUAGAGGCCUACCAUGGUGUCGACGGGUAACGGAGAAUCAGGGUUCGAUUCCGGAGAGGGAGCCUGAGAAAUAGCUACCACAUCCAAGGAAGGCAGCAGG